CUUUUGGUGUUGGCUAAGCCUAGUAGGUACAGCCACAGCCAGAAGCAGCGUUUUCUUUUUUUAUCAUUUCAAAGUGUGAAACUGAUUUUGGAGUUGCCAGUUAAAACAGUUUUUUGCUGUGUUGAUUAUAGAAGAAGUUGAAAUAAAAUUGGAAGGGAUGAUAUCCCUUUUGCUUGAAAUAGUAAAAAGUGGAAUUCAGCGGUCUGUUUCUCCAACUUGUUCAUUUUUAUAUUCCAUUUAUGCGCAGUCCGCCAUAAUUUUCCAACUCAGACCGUCACACUUGGAAUUUUGGAUUCCAAGAAGAGAUAGAGAUAUAGUAGAGAAGCGAUUUUGCUGGGUGCUAAGAAAAAUUUCUUUUUCCCCCCAGUUGGGUUUGUGUUUUCACAACAGUUGAGAGCCAUUUUUUCCCCUUCUGGGACCGCGAAAUCCUUCUCCGUCUCUCAAACUCAAGUGGGUCACUCUUAAAAAGGUCCUACUCUAACCCACUUGCUUGCUUCCGGUGUCUUAGCCUGCGUUCACCUGCCCCUUUAUUCAACCUUUCUUCCCACUUUUCAAUGAACUACACACCCUUUUGAGUCUGAAUUAAGAUCUAUCUAUCGGGGUUUUCAUUCGUUACUCACAUUCCGAUUGCGUUCUCAAGUUGGUAAUACGAUUAAGACUUCGAUUUCGUUAUUGCUGCUGGUGUUUAUGUGUCUGUUCUUUGAGAUUUAGUAUCUGUUUCUGUUUUCAAUUCGAGUUUGGAGUGUAUUCGUUUGUUAAUCACAAUUUAGGGAGUUGUCGUUCAAUAUAAGCAUCUGGGUUAGUCGAUAAUUCUUGCUGCUUGACUUUGAAGUGCUUGAAAUUUGGUUAUGGCUUCUGGGUUUGACGUGAUGGUUUAAGUUUAACUCUGUGUUUUUAGCAAAAGGGGGUUUUCGUUAAUGGUUUGAACUUUCGACGACUUUUAGUGGUGACUCAGGGAUUGAAGUUUGAUGCUAAUUCUAAGACAAUGGAGAGGCUUAUGGCCGGAUUUUUACUCUAGCAUUCGAGUCUUUGACUUGGUGAAGCUAAUAUGAAGAACCUCCUUAAGAAGUUCCACAUCAUGUCCAGUGGUCAGUCUGACGAUGUAGCUGAAGGGUCUACUUCAUCGAGGAGCAAUAAAGUAAUGGAGGUUUCAUCGCCUGAUAAGCUGCCAUCUCGCUCCCGGCCGACCCAUUUCAGUUCGGAGCAUAAACCCUUCUCGGGAAUAUCCGGUUGGUUGAACUCUGUUACAAAUAGGCGUAGCCCCAGUCCUCCAUCAUCUGCGGAUCCUACUGCAGGCGAGAUAAUGGAGCCAUCGGAUUCAGUAUCUAGCAGAGACGCUGCAAUGGAUACAUCUAGGCAUGAUUCAGGGUCGAGUAAUUCGAGGGAUCCUGAUAUAGAAGAAGAGUAUCAGAUACAGCUUGCUUUGGAAAUGAGUGCUCGAGAGGAUCCUGAAGCGGCUCAGAUUGAGGCUGUGAAGCAGAUCAGUUUGGGGUCAUGUGAUCCUGAUAACACUCCAGCUGAAGUUAUUGCCUUCAGAUAUUGGAAUUACAAUUCUCUUAGCUAUGAUGACAAGAUCUUGGAUGGCUUCUAUGACCUAUAUGGAGUCUUCACCAGAUCCACUUCAGAAAGAAUGCCUUCCCUAGUUGAUCUGCAAGGAGCACCAAUGUCUGACAGUGUCACUUGGGAAGCAGUUCUGAUAAAUAAAGCUGCUGAUGCUAACUUAUUGAAACUUGAACAGACAGCAUUGGAGAUGGCUAUCAAGAUGCAGACAGAGUCUCCAAUUUCUGUAAAUCAUUAUUUGGUGCGGAAACUUGCUGCUUUAGUUUCAGAUCAUAUGGGGGGACCAGUGGGUGAUCCUGAAAAGAUGUUGAGAAAAUGGAGAAAUCUUAGUUACAGCUUGAAAGCAACCCUUGGGAGUAUGGUUUUGCCACUUGGCUCCCUUACUGUUGGGUUGGCCCGUCAUCGUGCAUUGUUAUUCAAGUUUUUGGCAGAUGGCGUGGGUAUUCCUUGUAGGUUGGUGAAAGGACCACAGUACACAGGUUCUGAUGAUGUGGCAAUGAACUUUGUAAAGAUUGAUGAUGGAAGGGAGUACAUUGUGGAUUUAAUGGCAGAUCCUGGUGCACUUAUUCCAGCUGAUGUUGCUGGAUCGCAUGUAGAGUAUGAUGGAUCUCCUUUUUCGGCCAGUCCAGUUUCUAGAGAUGUUGAUUCCUCUCAGGCAGCAUCUUCAAGCAGUGGGGUUGGCAGUUCAUUAGAGGGAAAUUCAGAUUUUGGGAUAUCAGAUAGGAAACCAAAGGCCCGCAAUCUCAGUGCCACAAAGGAAUACGAUUCUCCCAAUAUCGACAAGGUCCCAUCACGUGAUUUUGCUAGCAAAUCAAAUUAUCCUGGUAUGCACACUAGAUCACCAUCUUGGACUGAGGGUGUUAGUUCACCUGCAGUGCGCAGAAUGAAAGUAAAGGAUGUUUCACAAUACAUGAUUGAUGCUGCCAAAGAGAAUCCACGGUUGGCUCAGAAGCUUCAUGACGUGUUGCUUGAAAGUGGUGUAGUUGCUCCCCCAAAUUUGUUUACCGAGGCAUACCCUGACCAAAUAGAUGUUAUUGUCGAGUCUAAGUCACCAACUGAAGACAAGGAUCAAAGUAGAAAGCUGCCUGGUAUCUGUGAAAGUGCAGAUAAGAAUGAUCCUCGUCUAUCUAACUUUUUGCCUCCCUUGCCUCAGCCCAGACUGCAUUCUAGAGCCAGCCCUACCCAUGGCCAACAACUGUACAUUAAACCUCUGGAAUUCAACCUUUCUCUUGAUUCAAGAGAAGCAGGCGGACAACCUAUACCCUUACCAUUUGAGGUAACUCCAGUGAAGUAUGGGAGAAAUGUACCUGUUGCUGCAGCAGCAGCAGCUGCCGCAGCUGUUGUUGCAUCGUCAAUGGUGGUAGCUGCAGCAAAGAGUAGCGAUGCAAAUCUUGAAAUUCCUGUAGCAGCUGCUGCCACUGCAACCGCUGCUGCAGUGGUUGCAACAACUGCAGCAGUCAACAAGCAAUAUGAGCAGGUUGAGGCUGAUGCUGCUCUUUAUGAGCUGCGUGGAAGUGGAGAUAGGGAGCAUGAUGCCUGUGGAGACAAUUCAGAGGGUGAACGUAUAUCAGAUAGAUCAGCUGGUAACGAAAGCACAAAAUCUGACAUUACCCUUGAUGAUGUUGCAGAAUGUGAGAUCCCAUGGGAAGAAAUUUCCUUGGGAGAGCGUAUUGGACUUGGAUCGUAUGGGGAGGUCUAUCGUGGAGAUUGGCAUGGAACUGAGGUAGCUGUGAAGAGGUUUCUAGACCAGGACAUUUCUGGUGAAUCUCUUGAAGAAUUCAAAAGUGAGGUUCGAAUUAUGAAAAGGCUUCGGCAUCCAAAUGUUGUUCUCUUCAUGGGAGCUGUGACACGUGCUCCCCACCUUUCAAUUGUUACAGAAUUUCUUCCCAGAGGUAGCUUGUACAGGUUAAUUCACCGUCCCAACAAUCAAUUAGAUGAACGAAAGCGAUUGAGGAUGGCUCUUGAUGCAGCUCGGGGAAUGAACUAUUUGCACAACUGCACGCCUGUUGUUGUACAUCGUGAUUUGAAGUCCCCAAAUCUACUUGUUGAUAAAAAUUGGGUUGUGAAGGUAUGCGAUUUUGGUUUAUCAAAAAUGAAGCAUAGCACAUUUCUUUCUUCAAGGUCAACUGCUGGAACCGCUGAGUGGAUGGCUCCAGAAGUGCUGAGAAAUGAACCUUCCGAUGAAAAGUGUGACGUUUAUAGUUAUGGAGUCAUACUAUGGGAGCUUUCUACAAUGCAACAGCCAUGGGGAGGAAUGAACCCAAUGCAAGUUGUUGGUGCUGUUGGCUUUCAGCAUCGCCGUCUUGACAUCCCAGACAAUUUGGAUCCUGCCAUUGCUGACAUUAUUAGGAAAUGCUGGCAAACUUAAUUGCAUUCUAGUGCGAUCAGGAUCCGAUGUGGCACAUUUGGAAGGGUUUACUGAGAGAUCCAAGAUUAAGACCUUCAUUUGCCGAGAUUAUGGCUGCACUAAAGCCGCUGCAAAAGCCAUUGUCGAGUUCUCAAGUACCGAGACCAAAUGCUCCUGCAGGUAGUGGUCGUGACAAGGCUAGAUUAUUGCAAGUCACCGAAGACCCAUCAGGCUAGGCGAAAAUUAUACAGGAAAACCGAGUUGAGAACCUUCUAGUUGCCAUAAAGAAGGGUAGCAAGGUUAUUGAUUGUACUGGACAAGCCUAAGAAAGAGAAAUUUUCUUGAGAAUGAAGAGCAGAAGCUUUGCUCAAUUUGAGACUGUAAUUCUUUUCCAAUUUUCUGGUUUCUCAAUGUCAUUAGAGAUGCCCAUUGUCCGGGUGUGUAUUUGUUGUAAAAAAAAAAAGAAUGAAUCAAAAGAUAAGUUGAAAAUGUUGUAAUUGAUGUCUUUACUUCUGGGUUGGGUACAUUAUUACAGUUGCUGGUGGAUUGUUUGAACAGAAGAUGAUAAAUGGGAAUGGAGAAACAAAGCAUUUUGUUAACAGCUUAUAUAUUUGUAA